GGGGGGGGGGGGGGUACUGUCAUGGUGCCUCUGGCAGAUUCCUCACCCUCUCCUCUCUGCUUGGCCUCUGAUUGUUCCCAGCUGCGUCCACUCUACUCAUCACCCUGCCAGACCUACUUAAGAAGCUCCAGUAUCAUCAUUCAUCGCCAGUUCGUUGCCCCUGAUGGAUCAUCUAAACCCAUGAGUGGACGCCCAAAUCUACUUCCAUCCAAGCGGAGGAUACCCCCAGAAAACCUACCUCCUUCCAGCGCGCCGUCUGAACUCCAGGCCUCAGCUCAAGCCACAGCCGAACCUCCAGCCACGCCACAGGCCACAGCCGAAUCACCCGCCUCGUCCAAGGUUCGCCCGGAGCCGUCACAGGAUUCCUAGACUCGUCUUCAAGAUCGCAGACGGGUCGUCGGUCUCGCCAUCCCCUGCCACAACAGGACUGCUCAUUUCCCUGUAACAUUAAAUCCAUUACUACUUUCA